CAGUGGUGGAGUGGAUAACGCGAUGGUGUUUGAAGCGAGUGGUACUGGGUUCGAGCCCCAGAAUGAA
rnacentral:tRNA from 1 species